rnacentral:rRNA from 1 species
UACGGAGGGUGCGAGCGUUGUCCGGAAUCAUUGGGCGUAAAGCGCACGUAGGCGGUUCGUUAUGUCGGAUGUGAAAGCCCUUGGCUUAACCGAGGAAGUGCAUCCGAAACUGGCGAGCUAGAGUACGAAAGAGGAUCGCGGAAUUCCCGGUGUAGAGGUGAAAUUCGUAGAUAUCGGGAGGAACACCGGUGGCGAAGGCGGCGAUCUGGGUCGAUACUGACGCUGAGGUGCGAAAGCGUGGGGAGCAACAGG